rnacentral:rRNA from 1 species
UACGGAGGGGGCUAGCGUUGUCCGAAGUUACUGGGCGUAAAGCGCGCGUAGGCGGGUUGGUAAGUCCGCUGUGAAAGCCCGGGGCUCAACCCCGGAAUUGCCUUUAAGACUGCAUCGCUUGAAUCCAGGAGAGGUGAGUGGAAUUCCGAGUGUAGAGGUGAAAUUCGUAGAUAUUCGGAAGAACACCAGUGGCGAAGGCGGCUCACUGGACUGGUAUUGACGCUGAGGUGCGAAAGCGUGGGGAGCAAACAGG